UACAUAGGUCCCGAGCGUUGUCCGGAUUUAUUGGGCGUAAAGCGAGCGCAGGUGGUUUAUUAAGUCUGGUGUAAAAGGCAGUGGCUCAACCAUUGUAUGCAUUGGAAACUGGUAGACUUGAGUGCAGGAGAGGAGAGUGGAAUUCCAUGUGUAGCGAUGAAAUGCGUAGAUAUAUGGAGGAACACCGGUGGCGAAAGCGGCUCUCUGGCCUGUAACUGACACUGAGGCUCGAAAGCGUGGGAAGCAAACAGG
rnacentral:rRNA from 1 species